CGUGCUGUCUUCUCAAGGCAGAGGUACCACCCAUAAAGAAGGCGCGCACGCUCUCUCUCUGGGCUCAUACAAGCUUCACCUUCGUCGUAACCGCCUUUCUAAUCAUUGUCACUCAUUGUUGGGUGUGUCUGUUCUGUGCUGCUUCUCUUUUUUUCGGUGCGAGGCCCACAUUCCGGUGACGAACCCCUCCUUCCCACGCCCCACCCCACUCAAGAAGGUAAACAAGCAAAUCGUUUCACACACACAUACACACACAGACCUCUCUCUGUGUGGGCACGAGUACUCGUGGCGAAGGAGUUCGUUUCUUGAGUGGUUUCGUUGUUUUGUUUUGCCUCCGCUCUUUUUGCUCACGCUGAAGCCGCCCCGUGUCUCUCCCUCCUCCGCUCCGUUCUUUACUCGACAGGCCGAAGCGGGAGAUCACCUGCCUCCGCAUCCGGAGCACACACCUACGUACCUCUAAAGCUGUCUAUAAAGGAGCAAAACAAACACACGCACACACACAAAAAGACACCCCCUCCCCCCUUCCCCAACAACGAGAGCGGAGGAGGAUUAGGCUGAGGACACGACAAGGGGGAGCCACGCCGUUCGACAGCAGCAACAAAGGAGUAAACAAAUACGUGGGAUAGGGUCUCUGAGAGUUGUAUAUUGGCGGGCGUGUGCUGGUCUGCCUGCCAGCACUUGUGUGCGUGUGUGUCCUUGUCGACGUCAUUGUGCCUGAGUGGACUCUCCCCACGAGAGAGCCCGCCGAAGAGGACGGAGGACUGACGGGACAAAACGGAAGGAGUAAGGUAAAGCCGCCUCUCUCUGCGACUGUUGUUGCCGAAGACGGUGACUCGGACUCUCACGCUCGCGUUCACCCAACAGCAGCUAAGCUCGCUCUUGCACACAAACACAACGCCAACGCCAAAGCCGCCCAGCAGGCGAGUGCGUGUUGUUCGUCAGGCCCCUCGCCCUCACCCAGAUCCUUCUCCUGACAUUGCGCACGCAUACUUUCCUGAAACUGGCACGUCACGGAUCACCUCCACCCCAUCCCCACCCUCGCAAACCUCAUCAUUUAUACACAGUCGAGCGCGCUUCUGAAUAGCUGACUCUCGCUUUUCUGCCCUCCUUGUGCCCUGUCUGUGAUAUUACAUCAAAAUUGUCUCUAGGAAAAGAAAUACUUUUAGGUACACCCACUCCCCCAGCACCACCCUUCGCCGACAAGCCGACAAGCAAGGCAACGCAUCUUGAGACGUGUACUGUUGUCGUGGUCCCAACCCCCUAACUUUACUCCCCCUCUCCCAAUCCCUCGCGCUGUAUUUGCUUUUCUUUGUCGUCGUUCAGGUGUUUUUCUAACUUUUCUUUCUUUCUCUUUUUUUUUUCGCUCGUUUGUUUGCUUGCCAUUCCUAUCACCCGAUCUCGCUUCCUCGCACGCACCUUCACUUGCACCGCCGCAUCCUCUCUGCCCGCCUUUUGCUGCUCCCUCGAAUUUGUUUCUCCUCUUUUCAUCUUUAUUUUUUUUUUAUUUUCUUCUCGCUUUCGCCUUCGAAAUUUGCUGGCUUUCCACCUCUUGUUGUCUUCCGCGUCUGUGCGUGCGUGCGUGUGUCUCCCACAACGGUGCGAGUCUUCAAUCCCUUGACCCGGCAGCAAGGCAAAUCAGUACAACUCCAUCUCGCCUCUUUGCCGUCAUUGGUGUCCUCCUCCCUCCCUGCGUGUGCGUGCGGCUGAGUCUUCACUGUCGGACCUCGCGUGUCACUGCACGCGCUUGCCGUUUCUCUUUCAAAGGCAUCGGAGGGGCGCGCAACAAGAGCCGAUCACAGAGGGUGGUGGAGCGAGAGAGCGAGAGAAGAGGGUCUUGUCGCGGUACGUGGUGGGUGUCGGCACGCAGGUGUGUACGUGUACGUGAAGAGAGGGGGUUUCAGUUGUUCUUCUGUGCGUUUGGUUCCGUUGCUGUUUUUCGUCGUUGUCUCUUUCUUUUUGUGCGUGUCUCUUUUUGUUUGUUUUAUUGAGUGCAAGUACGAUCAUCCAACGGUAACCGUUUCUUUUUUUUUGUAUUGUGUGUGUGUGUGUGUGCGUGCGUUUGUCGUUGAUUGGUUGUCUGCCUUCGAAAACGAAGUUCGUUGUUUUUUUUUUCUCGCUUUCUGUGCGUCUCUUCCCUCUAUUUUUUUUCGUGCUUUUUCUGUAUGAGUUUGUGGGCUGCCUCCUCUUUGGCCGAUACUCUAGAUUCUAGAAUCUGUGCCACGACCACCACGUUCAAGCGGCUGCCACCUUUUAGCUGUUCUUGCUCUCGCGGGAGAGCAAGAUAGACGACUACGGACUUGCAAGCGCUCGCAUACAUACACACUCCCGUCUUCUGGCGUGCACGGUGGCGUUGCACGGCAACGGCUCCGACACAUACACGCACACACACAACUGAAAUUGCCACCGCACCCAGAGCAGAAAAGCGGAUAAAUCUGGCCUCCCCUGAUUUGGUCGACAUAUUUUCGCCCUUUCCGGUAUACUAACGCUGCCCGUUGUGUUUCUCCCGCUCGCUUCCCACCUCUUCUUGCGGCUGCGUCUACAGUUGCUGCUGUGUCCGCAUCUGCCUCCGUUUCUAUUGUCCGCACCAGAGCUGAGCAAGAAAACAGAAAAAAAUACACAAGCGACAACGCCAAUAGCUGCGCCUCCCCCUUCCCCUCCCCACACUUUCCGCUUUCAUUCUCAUUCCCCUCUUCUUCGAUUGUCUUGGUGUGUGCCGCUGCCGCUUCCGUGUCUCUGUCCUUGCCUGCAUCGGAGCGUUUUUCUUUUGUGUUGCGUCACGUGCUGUGUGUUUUUUUUGUGUUUGCGCUCCAAUCCGCUCUGGCGGUACCCUGUCGCCUUCACCGACAACUUUACGGGAGAACACGUCAUUAAAAACAGACAUACGGGAGCGAGAGGGAGAUAGUGAGGUGGGGGCCGCAUUUUUUUUUAGUUUGCUGUUUUUUUUUUGGUUUCGCACAUUUUUUCCUGUCUUUGCGUGUGCGUGUGGUGGUGGUGGGAGAUCCGUUAUCGGUUCUCUCUGUGGGGAAGCGCGUGUGUGGGUAUGUCUGCUUGUUGGAGUACGUGUAGCAUUUAAGGCUCUGCAACUCUCUCACUCCCGCUCCCCUCGUUAAUUCACUGCGAGUCCGUCUUCUGUUCCGUCUUCAACUUCUUUUUUUUUGUUUUCGUCACUGUAACCCUUUUUUUGUUUGUUUGUUCAACAAAAAACGUUGCGUGCGUGUGUGUGUGUGUGUGUCUGUGAGGCCCUCUCGCUCCUCAUCUUGUCCCCCUUUCCCUUUCCUGCAACGUCACAGACGCAUCUCAACUCGCCACGGGCAAAACUGAAGAAGGAACUGCCCUUGGCUGUGUUACUUUUUCUUAUUUUUUUUGUCGUCGUGGAGGGACCCGUCUACAUAAUUCGCAGCGCCUCAUCCCGCUCAUCGCGCCACCCUCGCCCUUCCCCGCACUCUUUGUUCUUUCUCCUUGGCGUCGCUGCUCGUAUUCUCUUUUCGUCUUUUUGUGUGUGUGCGUGUGCGCUCGCCGCAAGUGCUGCGCUCGUGUUUUUGUCAGUCUUUUGUGUUGUCUUGUUGCUUGCAUGUUCUCGCUUCCUGUAUUGGCGCCGCUGCCAUUUUGAUCCCUGCCUCUUGUCUCUCUCCGUCGCGGUCGUCGUGUCACGUGCGCCCACUUCCGCGAUCUACCGGCACUCGUUCUUGUCCUGCUGUGUGGGUGUUUUUGUUGUUGCUGGGAGUGGCCGUGUUUCUCUGUUUCUUUUCGUUGCCUGCAACUCCCGGUGCGUGCGCGUGUGUGUGUGUGGGGGGGGUCAGUGAUACUUUUGCCGUCCUCUUUUCCGUACACGUUUUCACGGUUGCAGCUGCCUUCGUUGAACGUUGCUGCUGCUGCUGUGUGUGUGUGUUUAGCUGCACUACGUGGGCUGGCAGGUGGUGCUGGCUUGCUCGGCUGGCCUUUGUCUUGUAUCCCCCACUCGUGCGUGUGCUCCUCUGGUGUGUAGGUGCAUCGGUACGGAACCACGGGCUCGUGUGCACAGAACUGUCUGCUCUCUAAACUCAAAACAGAUCAAAAACAACGACACACACACACACCUAUACAUAUAUACAAGCACAUCCGCACACACACACGCACACGCGCAUCCUUCCCCUUUAUAUAUCUCUCCCUCUUCCUCGCGCACACACGGGCUUUAACAUACGGUGCCCACUCGCUGACGGAGAACACGAACAAGAAAAAAAGACAGACGGACGGGGUGCCGUCUUUUCGUACUUCUUUAAUUUGUUUCUCUGUUCGCUUCCCAGUUCAUUUUUUGUUUUCUCUCGUGUAUCCUCUGCGCCCUUCCCUCCUCCUUUUUGUACGUGUUCGGCCGUGUGUGCGUCCCAAUCCACUUCUAACUUGUUGCCGAUCCUGUCCCCAUAUCCCCUUCCUCGUCUCAUCGCUUCUUCUUCGGCUCGCACUUCUCCCCCACCGGCGUCUUCACGCCCUUCCUACCAACAACACCAACAAGAAACAGUCUCUCUCGCUUCUCCCUUAUAAGUUUGCUACUGCUUUCGUUUGGUGUGGUGGUGCUGCUUGUGCUUUCUCUUGAUCCUACCCCUCCCCCUCCCCCGAUCCAACGCCCCUCACUGCCGCUCUGUCUGGGUGUCUGUUCCUUGUAAUUCUUUGUACUCGUUGAGUGCGCGUAUUGGCGUGUGCUCCUCUUCCGCGGUGCGGUAACGGGGUAGCUCGGUCGCCGUCGGCACAGCCAUGGACUCGACUCGGGGCUCUACACAAUGCGGGGCAACAUUUGUAGAGGUGAGUACCUUAGCCGGUGCGGACGCCGCGCCAGACGCGCCGCAGCGACAAGUUGAGAGGUGCCUUACGUCGCCGCACGCGCACUGUGCCCUGCCGCGGCUGUGCACCGAGUCUGUGAGCAUGGUGCCCUCUCUCGCCUCACUGGUGGACGAUCUGCCGGCGUCCGUCGCGGCCAAACCGACGCUCCUGAAUUCCAGCCCGUUGCGGGUCGCCAAAGCACACCCAGCUACUGAAAGCGCGUCGUCCAUGCCGUCGAGCUGUGGUGCCACCACGGAGACGGAAAACCGCUUCGGUGACCUUCAGAGCCACGCUGGGGCUACCGCAGUUGUGCCACCGGUCUUGAAGUCCUCGUCCUCCCUGCUCUCGUCGUUCCCCUCUGCCUCCGCCAUCGCCGCCGCCGGCAGCGCGCGACGCCUGACUCCAAACAGCACCUCUUCCAUGGACGGCACAUGGACGCGGUCGCGCAACGUGGACGGGCCUCGAACGAUGUCUCUUCGGCUUUUCACGACUUCACCCCACACCCUUCACGGGUCGGCGUCUCUCCCCAUCCCUGGUGAGGAGAGCGUGCCGCUCGCGGAGAUGAGCAGUCACGCGGAGUCGAACAGGACCACGCCCUCGGUGCCGCUUAUGUGCUGUGGCCUACCACACACCCACGCGAUCGAGGAGGAGCGGCGAGCGUCGUCGGCGGAAACCUUCUUGACCCGGGUGCCGCUACCGCAAGAGGACAUGACAGCUUCCUCAUCGCAGCCCUCGUCGCCUACCGCGGCGGAGCGCACGGUAGUGCACUGCUCGGUGAUGCACACAUGCAGCGAUGCAGCGGAAGCGCAAAGGGCUGCUUCGCCCACGGUGCCCCCCAGUGGAAGCCCCACCGGCUUUGCCACCGCGACAGCGAUGCGAUCUACACCGCAGCGACGCAGUCGUUCGUUCGACAUGCCGCUCCCCUUUGCCAGCGGCGUGAGUGGCGGCAGCUGCGAUGACUUAUCAAGAUGCUACGCAGAGCGACGCGAGCUGUCCACUAUCACCGCUAGUAUUCGGACAAGUGAACACUUCAACGAGCGCCUCGGCGACACGCACCGUCCGCCGCCGUUCAUGUACCCGUCGGAGUCCACGGCGACGUUGUCGACGCUGAGAGCGUCAGUGGUAGGCGCAGCCGUCCCCGCUACGGCGCAUUCCAACAACAAUGGCGGCGGCGGCAUUGCCACUUUCAGCAGCAACGCAAGCACAAACGGAGGGGAUGCCGAGGCACAAGUAGGCACGGGCACUGGACUGCGACGCACCAUAUCCUGCGAUACGCUGGCUUCGGUCAGCUCCUCGCGCUCCAGACCGGUGCUCACGCCCGCCGCGCUUGGCCCGCCGGAGGCCUCUGGCGCCGCAUCUGGUACAGCGUCCACCACCACCACCAGUGUAACGUACACGCGCAAAAAUGUCUGCCUCGGGACGCUGGACUUCUACGGCAACCCGGUUACGUCUCUCUCCUCGCUACUCGUGCAGAUGUCGCUGCGGUCUGGCGACCACGAGGAAGCAGACCCGCCUGAGACGCGUCUCGCCGCGGCUUCUCCUUACCCGCUAACUCAGCAGCAGCAGCAGCAGCGAAACACGCUAUCCAUGCAAAACUUAAUGGCACAUACGCAGCAAGUGGGGCAGAUGGCGCCAGAGGACAAGGUGAAGCGGUUCCACGCAAAGCCGGACAGCGGCGGCAUCGCCAUGUGCAGGACAACAGGUGCCACGAUACCGCGGCGGCGCCGCGCCUGCGCCAAGCCCUGCUCCGCGACAGCGGCCGCGUCAGCCUCGGCUGCACCGCUGGCCGGAACCACCGUCGCGGCUUCUGCACAGCCGCAGGUCGGCUCACUGAAGGACGUGUUGCAGGAUUGCAAUUUUCUCUCCCUCAAGGACGUGCUGAGCGCCAUCGCCGACACUCAUGUGCACGAGCUGCGCGAGGCGCAGCAGCGGUUGAGCAACACGCACGCUGGCGCCGGCGAUGGUAAAAAUGUUGACGGCAGCGCAGCCUCCACGGCACCCGCGUCGGUGAUCGUGAACGCGCUGUCUACAUGCGUAGCCUCGGUGCCAUUAAAAGCGGAAGAGCCCUCCACGGCUGCAGCCAGCUUCUCUGGAGGCAUUCAGUCGAAUGCGACGUGCCGUCUCGGUGGGGCGGGGUCGGAAUGGGCAUGCACUUCCAGCGCCCGCGAAGGCGAUAGUUGCGUGUGCCUGAGCACGAGCGCCAGCACUGACGCGACUUGCAUCCCAGCUCUCCACCCCUCAGUCAACUCGCUUGACGCACAGCAGGUCUUGACGCUUGCGGCGGCGAUUACGGAGGCCUCACUGAACCUCGACCGCAGCGCUGAGGCUUCUUUCGCCGGCUCGGCCACGGCGGCCGCCGUCAGCGCGUCAUUCCCAACCUUGCUCGGCGAGACUGUACCCGCUGGUAGUGCCGCGUCGCCUCCAUCCGCUAUUGCUACGCCGACGAGGCUGCAGUCGGUCGCCCCAUCGGGUUCUCUUAUCUCAUCAACUCACGCAGAUGCAAGCCGCGGAGUUGCCGCCGCUUCGGCGGCGUCCACAGAUGGCGUCUCCGAGGCUCUUGAUUACGGAGGCGAUCCACUGGAACGCAAGGUGCUGCUGCUGCAGGCUUCAAACGACGGCGUGGAUGACGUUGUGGGGAGUGGAGUGUGGGAGUGCCCAGGGGACCGCAGCGUGCUCGCAUCGUCCCCUCUGGCGCUGAAGGCGACGGCAGCUGCGUCUCCCAUGACGGUCGCCUCGCCGACACAAAACCGAUUUGCUGCGGCAGGCUUACCGUCCACACGCCAGCGCGGAGGACGGUACGUUGCCAACUGGCACGGUCUAUCGUCGGGUGAGGAGGCACCAUGCAGGACAACGAUGCCGCGCACCGUCAUCGCCGUUGAUGCAAAGCCCCCGCCAACGUUGCUGCGGCAGGCGGAGACUAUGGCUAGCGCAGACCGCGGCAUGUUUGCCAGCAGUGGCGCGGGUAAGCAGGAGGAGGCUGGAGUAUCGACCGUGACUUACGACAGGGCCCCUGCACCGAGGGCCAGCAUCACUGCCGGAGACACUUCGGCCAGCGUCGGCGAUAUUCGUGUGGUGGUCGAGUCCAUCUCCUUUUGCUCCUUCGACGACGAGCUCAACACCGUGUCGCAGCUGCGGCAGUGGGCCCGAAGCAUUGCGCGGCUGGAGCACCUGCAGCCGAGCACGGAAACGGAAGUCAUCACAUAGAGGAGAGCAAUGCUUCGAGUAGGCCGUUCUUGCGAUGACGAAUGUUGUGAAAAUAUGCUGCUUUCGAGGGGGUUGAUGGGGUAGGGGGCGAUAUAGGUGGUCUUCGACGUCUUUCUCCGCUUCCCCGCGACGUUGUCUCAGGCGCAUGUGCAUGUAUAUGAGUCGAGCCAAUGCGUGAUUCUCUAAGAUUUGUGCGCCGGUGAAGGGGUGGCGGCCUUUGUGUGCAUCGGAAUCUGAGCGUUUGGCGAGGGCGUAGGCUUGUCUGCAGGGGAAACGGGGGGCGGAAGAGGGGCACGCGCCGAAAAUUCGAAUGCGCUGAUGUCUGCCGACCCACGCAACGGAGUAUCCCACACCCGCACGCGCGCCGGUGCUUUUUCACUUCUGUUCUUUUUUUUGUGGUUUCGUCCACCGCCCCUCCCUCCCCUUCCCUCCUCCUUCGACGGUGAUGCCCGAUGCUCUUUGUUUCUGUUGUUGCUUUCGUAUAGCGACGCCACAACCGUGGCGGUCUCGCUCCUUCUUUAGGAAACGAUUUUUUAUUUUUACUUUUCUGUUGUGGGGUGCUGCUUUGUGUGACAGCGGCCCGCCACACAUCGAUGACGCCCGCCCGCCCGUCCUUUUUUUCCAUUCUGUCCCGCAAAUCCGCGUCCGAUCUCUUUUUUUUUCGCUUCUCUUGCGCGACGUCACCACCCGUAUCACAUCCGUCUCUCAACCUUCACCCUCACCGUCCGUUCUUCUCUCUCUGGUCCAUGCCAUGGUAAAUACUUCGGAGUACUCUGGCUUUAAUCAGAGGUACAUGUCGGUUUAUGUUGUUGUGCGCGUUUGUAUGCGGGUAUCUGCGUGUGAUUGAAGGGACAUUGCCAUCCGCACUUCCAACGUCUGCACACACAGACACAGACACACACUCAUACAGACCCUCUUCCGCUUUCCUCUGCCUUGUCUUCUCUGCGUGUCUCUAUCGACGCUUGUGCCAGCAUCCGACACUGCGCAGGCAAGGCAAGCGAUUAUGAGACAAAGGGAAGGAGGCUGAAGCUGGGGAGAGGGGGAGGGGAGCGGGUGCAGACGUGGGGAAGGGGACAAAACGCACCCACGUGCUAUGUACAUUAGACACACAGGACUGAUAAGACAAGAAAAAAGUAGGUGUAUGGCCCACAAGAGCACAUAACACCCUGAACACCGCAACAGCAACCGCAAAGAAGGCGCAGAAAUGGCGCCAUCUGUCCUUGGGCCUUCAAGGAAUGCUUCCGAGCGUAUGCCUUCACCGCGCGAAAUGGAAAAAAAUGGACGUGCCUGCUCACUACAGCCACACAUGCAGUCUGCAUCUUGACCGCCAUCCUCUGCACUUCUUGGGUUGUGUGUGGCCAAGUAUGUAUGCAGACACGUGUAACACUGCUUGCUGAGCCGCGUUUAGGGUGGACGAGGUGAAGAGAAAGGAAUGCCGCAAAUAGUCGAUGUGCUGCGCGCGUUCGCUUCGUGACGGCGGGACACUCUACUAUGCUGUCCUCGCCUUCCCUCCAUCCCUACCCACCUUCUCCCAGUCGCUUUCAUUUGGUGCUUUCUUCCUCGUCGUGUUGGCCUUCAG
rnacentral:misc_RNA from 1 species